CUCUCCCAAAGGGGAGAUCGAGCAUAGUAAUCGAAGUAAGGCUGUAUCAGAGGAUUAUAAAUUGAUAUAAAUGUGUUUGCAGGAACAUAUAGGGCUUGAUACGCUUUAAAAUUCAUAUGCCCGCUCCGACUUUUUUGCAAACCAUUUCGAUAUGUUCGUCCCAAUUCAAUGUUUCAUUAAGUUUAACUCCCAAACACCGGAAUGUGCAGCAUUCUGCAUGGGAAUCAGUUCAUCAUUAAUCAUUACGGUUAUGAUUUGAUCCAACAUACAUUAAUUUUUGUUGAAUGAUGCUGCAGUUUGUUUUUGACCAGCCAUUGACUAACAUUGUUUAAAUCAUGAUUUAAAUUAUAGGAUUAAGUUCUACGCAGUCUUUCGCAGAUGAAAUGUGAAUCGCACUGUUUGAUGCAGUAUGAUUAAGUCACCAAAAGACUCCAGUACCAAAAAGUUAAUAUUUCUGAGCACAUUAUAUAACUUAGAGCAAUUGAUCAAGGAGCCAACUAGAGUCACAAGCACAUCAUCAUCUUUAAUUGAUCUAGUGUUCACCAAUAAACCCAAUAACAUUUCUACAGUGGUGGCGCCAGGGGGGG